GGGAGGGAGCAUGGCUCUCUAACUGGAGGAGUGACUUUCUUUCAAAAAAUGCUUCUGUACAGUCAGUGGUCACCGGUACUGGCGGGCUGGCUGGCAGGCAGCAGCCACGGAGGCUGCUCAAACAUGGCUCGCCACGACGGAAAUAUCAAACUGGACAGCUACGACAUGUUUUAACAUAAUUUGAGGCAAGAAAAGACGACGAGCGGCUGGUGAAAACGAGAGGAAAGGCAGCCUAGAAGUUGAGUCAGGGAUACAUGAUUGUGUGUAAAUGACUAGCCUGCCUCGUAUACCUGUCGACGUCCUUUAUUGAAGCGCCGCUUACCCAGCGUGACACCCUGACACAGAGAGGAUGGUGAUGGCGGAGCGGGGACAGACAGAGAGAAGGAGGGGGGAUCCACUGACUACAGGAGCAGCCAGAAGGCAAAUCCUGUUGGAGCUUGCGGACCAGAACCUCGAUACCAUCUGUCUCUCUACUUAUCGAACAGCCUGCAAACUGAGGUUCAUACAGAAGAGAUGUAACUUGCAUCUCAUCGACAUAUACAAUGUGAUCGAAGCAGUGCGUGAUGCCGGCCUGAACGCUGUGGACUUAAAUGCUGGCAUUUCUGUAACCAGGCUGGAGAACCUGGUAUCUUCCCUGUUCAACCAGCUUAGCAAACGCCUGCCCACCACUCAUCCAAUUAAGCCAAGGGAGAGUACUGUCCUGUUUGUUGACUUCAUACUGGCUGCCAUUGAAAGUGAACCUGAGAGCCGACUGACAGUGUUCUCAGUAAAGGCUAUUCUAGCUGUACUUUGUGGAGGAAAACUAGUUGACAAACUUCGCUAUGUGUUUUCUCAGGUCUCAGACUCCAGCGGUGUGAUGGUCCUGUCCAAAUUUGACAAUUUUCUGAUCGAGGCUCUCAAGCUGCCAUCAGCUGUGCACGAAAGGCCGUCGUUUGGCUACACCAACAACAUGGCUCGUUCGUGCUUCCCACAACAGAAGAGGGUGAUGCUCAACAUGUUCCUGGACAUUGUAUCUGACCCUCCCGCAUGUCUCGUCUGGCUUCCCCUCAUGCAUCGCCUUGCCAAUGUGGAAAAUGUGUACCAUCCCGUCUCAUGUUCUUACUGUCAUAGCAACGGUAUAACAGGCUUCCGCUACCGCUGUCUCCGUUGCCGAGGAUACCAGCUCUGCCAGAAUUGCUUCUGGCGUGGCUAUGCCAAUGGCUCUCAUAACAACCAGCAUCAGAUGAAGGAGCACUCAUCCUGGAAGUCGCCUGCGACUAAGCUGGGCCGAGCCCUUGGGAAAACGCUGGGUUGUGUAUCAUCCAGGGAACCUCCGCACCCAGUUUACCCAGAAGAACCCGAGAGGACCCUAAAUCUCGCUAAUAUAGUCCCGUCUCAACCGGUUGGAAACCCAAGUCCGGCCAUGCUGCUGUCUUCUUCAGCACCAGAGCCAACUGCUAAGUGCAGUUUGGCAGCAGCUCAGCGCAUGAAUGAGGAACACGCUUUGAUCGCCGCUUAUGUGAAUCGCCUCCAGAGCAGCCCAUGCAGCAUGCAAACCCCCGGCAGGCAAGAUGAGGAACACAAACUUAUCGCCCGCUACACGUCUCGACUGGCAGAGACUGAAAGCUCAGGGGUGAUACCCACUCGAAGCAUUAACUUUGAUGUAAACAAACAGAAGAGGGAGCUCAUCGCUCAGCUGGAAUCCAAAAACAGAGAGAUUUUGGCAGAGAUCAAGCGUCUCCGUUCAGAGCACGAUGCCGUGUGUCAGCCCAGUCCAGACAAGGGCAGCACCAACCCGACUCUUCUAGCUGAGCUUCGCCUCCUCAGACAGAGAAAAGAUGAGUUGGAACAGAGGAUGUCAUCUCUACAAGAGAGCAGGAGGGAACUGAUGGUCCAGCUGGAGGGACUGAUGAAGCUGCUCAAGGAUGAGGAGCAGCGACAGGCAGCACAGGCUGCCGGUUCCUCUCACGCAUUUCCUUCCCGACCAAGCCCUUCGCCUGCCCGCUCAGUUGGUACCGCGUCUCCACAGAUGUAUUCGCCACAAGACUCGCUUGCUGGUGUGGGCGGAGAUGUACAAGAGGCUUUUGCCCAAGGCCCAAGAAGAAACUUGAGGAAUGACCUUCUAGUAGCGGCUGAUUCCAUUACAAACACUGUGUCCUCACUGGUCAAAGAGCUUCAUUCUGAUGAUGGUCGGGAGGAAGAGGAGAGAUUGCUGAAUGGAAAGGACAGAGCAGGUUAAAUUUCAUCGCAGGACAAAUUGGAACAGCAGCGUGGUGUUUCAUCCCAGCCAAAGAAGCUAAACUGGGGACAAAAAGUCCUCAUUAGCAACUGGUCAUUGGAACACAAGUGCUAAUCAAGAGCUCACAAUUCUGGACAAAAACUCCAGUCCACUUACUGAUUUAUAGCUCUGAAUCAGUGUUUGUCUUGUCACUGUGAUUGUGAUUUUAUAUUGUCGUAAUCGAGCAUAAACAAAGAACCUGAUGCCUACUGAUUAGUACUCAAACUUUGUGUGUGUGUGUGUGUGUGUGUGUGUGUGCGUGCUUUCACGGUUUAUUGUUUUUUUUUGUUGUUGUUUUGUAAGGCAAAAGAGGAGGAACGAGUAAGUAAGGAAGGAAGUUUGAAAAGGUAGAUGUGUUAGGGAGCUUUAAUAAUCAGAAUGAAAAUACAGAAUGUACCGUAGAAAGAAUACGCAAGAAGGUCAGUUUAAAAGAUGAGAAGAGAAGACUACAUUUCAGCACUGUGUGCUUUGUAUUUAUUUAUUUUUGCUUGGAUUUGUUUUUGUCAGGUCUUCAUUUGUCCAAAGGGUCAAUAUGUAUAUGAGAGUGGUCUGGUCCUGCUGAGACAUAAAUCUUGAAUGCUGCUGUAUUUAGACCAUGUGAAUAACUCCACAGGUGCUUGUAUUGUAGCAGCUCGAGCUGUCAGUCCUGGUACUGAACUGAGAGACGAUGGUGUCUUUAUGUGUGUGUUUGUGUGUGCUAGGUUUAACUAGAUAUUAUUCAAGUAUUUUACGCAAAAGCAAAGUGAGAGGAGACAUAAACCCAGACAAUAAGCAGUUACUGUAUAUUUUAUGAAACGCAAGACCAUGUUACUGCCUCGAACAUAGAUUUAAUGUAAAUUUGCCUGACUUUUUAUCAAUAUAUUUAAAAAAAGAAACUGUGUCCGUUUAUUUUAAACCUAAUUUUAACUGUUACACUCAUCGUAACCCAUGAAAUUGUUUGCUGCCAGCCAAUCGGUAUCCAACGUGACUCCUCACACUUUGCUGCUUAAUGCCUUUUUAUUUCAAGCUUUCUGAACAAUUCAGUGGAUUUGAGACUGAUUUGGUUCACUGUGGAUUUUAAGCUACCAAAACAAUGGCUAGAACGCUUGACUGCGUGUGUAAAAGCUGAACCAAAGAACCAAGCUUUUGUUUGUUGGGUCAUUUAUAACCGAAGUCUUGUAAAUCUUUAAUGUAACUUGACUGAUGGAUUUUUUUCCCCCAGCUUUUGUUUCCGUGUUUCAGUAUGCAUGCCAAUUAUGUAUAGGAACCUCUUCACAACAGCCAUUUGGUAAUGUCAUUGCAUACAAAGUUAAUGUAAAGCAUAGUCCUGUUUCAAUGGCCCAGAUCUAUGCCUAAAGGGAAUUGCUUUGAGCCCUAAAUAGAACAGGACCACCACUACUAAUGAUAUCUUUAACAUGGGUGUUCUCGGCUAUGACAUAUGCAAAUGGUCCCUCUAAGAGGCGCUGACAGAGUAGAUGCAUCCUUACUUGAAACUGUAAACAGUGUCAGCGCUGAAAAUGUGUGAGUGAUGUGUUUGAGAAGCAAUAAAUUUUAUUUAUGACAAAGCUGGAUCAGUUGCGUACAGUUUAUUUGCUCAUACAAUUUAUUCUAUUGACACAGAUCACAUCGCUUAUGUCUGGUUGACAUGAGUGAAAUUUGGAGACCAACGUAUUUGGGCUCAAGUCAUCUGUUUGACUUUCAACCAUUCUGGAUUUAGUGUCCUCAUUGUCUUGGAUGAGCUGUUCUUACUUUUCCCAGAGCUCCUGGAGGUCAUGACUGCAUUUGACAAAGACCGAAGAGUAAGGCUGCUAAACUAUACUAGUACACUGAAUGCAUGUCAUUGUUAUAGUCUGCAACCUUGCCGACAUCCAUAAAUAACCCAUCACAUCCUUUGAAGUCAAUUAAGGUUUGACCUCGGAUGCACGACCUAGUGUUUACCAUCCCAGAGGUCAAUCUGAGUUUAGCGUUCCCUUUCUAGGUGUCAACAAACCAGUAAGUAUGUGAAAAAACUGUAAAUAAAACUACAGUAAUUUUUGGACUAAAAACCGCUUUUUUCCUUAAUUUUGAAUCCUGCAGCUUCUAGUCCAGUGCGGUUUUUUGAUGAUUUAUUUGGGUUAAUAGGUAACAAUUUAUUUGAUAGCAGCAUCAUAAGACCGUCAUAAUUGUGACACGACUCUAUCAUGGGCAUUACUGAAUGCUUAUGACAAAUGUCAAAUGUCAUCCGGCAAAUUUUGUCACGACCUACCUUUAUGUCCAGCUCUGAUCAGUUACAUCAAUUCCAAAGUAGGAUAAUUUUCUGGACAACACUAAAAGACAUCUGUAAUAAGCAAUAAUUAAUAAUCAUGAUAGUCUCAUAUCAUAAUAAUGAUCGUCUGAUGACAGUCUUAUGGCGCCACGGUCAGAUAAAGUGUUACCAAAUACCAUAACUAGCAAUUAAUGAAACUGGAACAGUAACUGAAGAAAUAAUUAGCACAGAACAUGAAUUUUGAUUAUUUACAUCUGUAGCGCUGCAAUGCAUGGUAGGAGGCAUGUUGGACAGCAACAGUUUUGACAGCAGGUGGCAGCAGAGGUUGACUGUCUACCCCAAGGGAGCAGUGAUGGCCAAAUGAAGCACUGAAGCUUUGCAGCCAAAUGGUUCAAAGCUUCAUGGUGGUUAAUUUGGUCUUAUGACCGUCGUAUGAUGCCGCUGUCAAAAAAAAAGUGUUACCGGUUAAUAUCUUUUGGCGUAAAUAUCCCAUAAUACAGUGAGGACAGCUGCGGCUUAUAGUCUAGCAUGGCUUAUCUUUGAACAAAUGGCGUUUUCGUGUCAAAUUUGGUGGGUGGCAGCUUAUAGUCAGGUGCACUUUAUAGUGCGGUAUUUUGCCUAUUGUUUAAUCUUAGAGUUGUAUUUUGAUCCCCCCCCCCUUUUUUAGCAAAUGCUGAUAGCAUAGCUUCAGUUUUAAUAACGUGAUUAAUGAGAACAUACACUCACACAUUAUAUCACAUGAGCAAAUAAUUUAUUUUAUAACAAACAAUGUCAUUUCCAUGCAGUGUUAAAUAAAAUGGAAAGAUGAAAGUAGGGGUAUGAACAGUAUUUUCAAACCAAUGUAGGUACAAGGUAUUUAAGAUCAAUAAUGGCACAAUAAGGUCACCGUUUAUGUUGUAUAGACACACAAUCAUUCAGAUUCAACCAGAAUUUAUCUAAUUUACUAUGAACAUGACAAAGUGAGCACAUGCCUUGUUUAAACUUGUAACAUAGUAUUUUAAAUUGUCUUAGACGCUAGGAUGCCACAAAUGUCCUCAGUCCACCUCUUCAAUGGUGGGCCCCUUGGUGCCGGCCUGAUCACCAGCCCGGGCCUGACUACCGCAGCCACCAGCAGGCCCCGCCCCCUGGUACAACUUGCUCAUAAUUGGCUGACACACUCGUUCCAGCUCCUUUUGCUUGUCCUGGAACUCAUCUUUGUCGGCCAACUGGUUGCUCUCCAGCCAGUUGAGGGUCUGCUCACACUUGUCCAUCAGUGUCUUCUUGUCCUCCUCGCUCAAUUUGGCCGCCACCUUCUCAUCCUGCACACUGCUCUUCACGGUAAAGGCAUAUGACUCCAGAGCAUUCUUUGCGGCAAUCUUUUCCCGCUGCAAGUCAUCUUCAGCUUUGUACUUUUGGGCCUCGUCCACCAUCUUCUCUAUUUCUUCUUUACUCAGGCGGCCUUUAUCGUUGGUGAUGGUGAUCUUGUUCUCCUUGCCGGUGCUUUUGUCCACCGCCGACACGUUUAGUAUGCCGUUGGCGUCUACAUCAAAGGUGACUUCAAUUUGUGGCACGCCUCGCGGAGCCGGCGGGAUUCCGCUGAGCUCAAACCUUCCCAGGAGGUUGUUGUCCUUGGUCAUGGCUCUCUCGCCCUCCAAGACCUGGAUGAGAACACCGGGUUGGUUGUCGGCGUAGGUGGUGAAGAUCUGCGUCUGCUUGGUGGGGAUGGUGGUGUUGCGUUUGAUGAGUGGCGUCAUAACUCCUCCGGCGGUCUCGAUUCCCAGCGACAGAGGCGCCACGUCGAGAAGAAGCAGGUCCUGGACGUUGCCAGAGGUGUCCCCCGUCAGGAUGGCAGCCUGGACGGCGGCGCCGUAAGCCACCGCCUCGUCAGGGUUGAUGCUCUUGUUCAGCUCCCUGCCAUUGAAAAAGUCCUGCAGGAUCUUCUGGAUCCUGGGGAUUCGUGUGGAGCCGCCAACUAGGACAACGUCAUGGAUCUGGCCCUUGUCCAUCUUUGCGUCCCUCAGGGCUUUCUCCACCGGUUCCAGCGUUCCCCUGAAAAGGUCUGAGCAAAGGUCCUCAAAGCGAGCUCUGGUGAUUGAGGUGUAGAAGUCGAUGCCCUCAAAGAGGGAGUCGAUCUCGAUGUUGGCCUGGGAGCUGGAGGACAGUGUUCUCUUGGCCCUCUCGCAGGCGGUGCGCAGCCUCCUCAAAGCCCUUUUGUUCUGGCCGAUGUCCUUCUUAUGCUUCCUCUGGAAUUCGGCCACAAAGUGUUCAACCAUGCGGUUGUCAAAGUCCUCUCCGCCCAGAUGAGUGUCUCCGGCGGUGGCUUUGACCUCGAAAAUGCCACCGUCGAUGGUCAGGAUGGACACGUCAAACGUGCCGCCGCCCAGGUCAAAGAUGAGGACAUUGCGUUCUCCCGACUGGCCUUUGUCCAGACCAUAGGCAAUGGCAGCCGCAGUGGGCUCAUUGAUGAUCCUCAGAAUGUUUAGUCCGGCAAUGACCCCUGCGUCUUUGGUGGCCUGACGCUGGGAAUCGUUGAAGUAGGCGGGGACUGUGACCACGGCGCUGGACACCUGCUGACCAAGGUAAGCUUCGGCCGUCUCCUUCAUUUUAACCAGCACCAUGGAGGAGAUCUCCUCUGGAUUAAAGGCCUUCUCCUCCCCUUUGUACUGCACUUGGAUUUUGGGCUUCCCUCCUUCGGCGACUACCUUGAACGGCCAGUGCUUCCUGUCCGCUUGCACCACCGGAUCGUCGAACUUCCUUCCGAUCAGUCGCUUAGCGUCAAACACAGUGUUGCUGGGGUUCAACGCCACCUGGUUCUUGGCGGCGUCACCAAUGAGCCUCUCGGUGUCGGUGAACGCCACGUAGCUGGGCGUGGUCCUGUUGCCCUGGUCAUUAGCGAUUAUCUCCACUUUGCCAUGCUGGAAAACACCCACGCAGGAGUACGUGGUGCCCAGGUCGAUGCCGAUUGCGAUGCCUUUUGCUGAGACCAUUUUGUAUGUUGACUGUCAAGUUGCUCGUCUGUGAGGGGAACAAAACAGAUUAUUCCUACUUCUAUUCCUCCAUUUUCUGUACAGCCCAUCCUCAAUAGGGUUAAAGGCAAACUAGUCAGCUGAAUUUGAGCAAGACUGGUAAACCCACCAUUUGCAAUAAGGCACAUUUACAAUUUUAGAAUGCGGGAAGGAGAGCAAAAACAUUCUUAAAGGGAUCCACAGAUUAUCCACAGAAGGACUUGUAGUUCUUAAAAGAUAAACGUUAUUAUGAGUUUAAAAAUUUGAUAUUGAAACCCCUCUUGAUGUCACCAUUUUUAUACAAUUUGUAAAAUUAGUUUAACUAUUAGGGUGCCAUUGUUGUUGACGUCGCAGGGCAGUGACGUCACACGCUGCCUGGCUUCCAGAGUAUGACUCUAGCGACAUAAACAUGUCAUCUGUUCAACCCUUUCAAUUUGAACCCGAGAGGAACAUUAAUUAGCAUGACAGCUUUGUCGAUAUUUCACAAAACGAGCAGCAAAAGCAAACUGAACAGGAAAGACGGGAUGAGACGAGAGUAGGAAAAAAAACUCUUCUGCCAAAAUGUGCUACACUAGCCAAACGUCCUACAAGAGGCGAAUUUGACACCCAAAGUACUACCAUGCGUUUUCAGCUUGUUUUGUAUGGAUGCAAACAGACAGAACAUACUAAAGAUGCCUUAAGAAAAUACUUAAACGUAUUAAUAUCAAAUAAGGGUGGCCUAAAUAUGCUACGUGACUAAUGUGGUCAACAGAUCAACAAUCUGCUUUAAAGCUACUACAAGAAAACACAAUGCUUAAAAGUAUGCGAGGGAUACACAUGUAAAAAGUAUUUUGAGGCAAUGAAAAGGUAAUAAAAGACUCAAUAAUAACAAAUGGUAAGUACUCGUCGCUUUUAACAGAUGAGCGCAAGUGUUAGAAGUUAGAAGUUGCAGUAACACGGUAAUAUUCGUCAAGGGUCAGUGACAAUCACCCCGAGUGUCCAUUGCAGGUAUAAAAACAUAACGUCCUCUGUAGGUAAAAAAAAAAAACUAAAUAUUAUAGAUUUUUACAUCACUGGCAAUAUUUUAUUUGUUUCUAAUAACAUUUUGGUAAAAGAACAAUUGUAGCUUAGAUCCUGCAAGUCUUUAAGUCCGAAAUCCCUUUAAUAGCUCACUUAAUAGUAUUACACUGGAUGAAAUCAAAUAUAUUGUGUAUUAUUAUGAGGAAUAAAAGAGCAUACUUACAUUUUGAAGCGUUAUGUAAGACUGUAAGUCCUCUGGAUGUUGCAAGUCUCAACUUGUGAAUCUUGUUCUUGUGUUCGAAUGUGUCCCUCAGCUGGUUUUAUACCCAGCAAACUGUCGCUCUGGACACUUCCAGACGGUUCCCCGUCAAAGGACGUAACCAAUAACAAAUGUUUCCUGUUAGGACUUUCAAAAUAAAAGACCAUAAAACUAGGUUACGGGCUUUACUUACGCGCAUGAAAGAACAACGCGUUUAUUGUGAUGGCAUUGGAUGAUCUUACCGUGACUAUAAACGUAAACUUUAUCCCGAACCUACCACAAUACUCGAGAAGCGAGACGUACUCAUUUCUAAAGUGAGAGGUACUUUUAUGGAUGACGUUUAAAAAUAAAAUACGUUUAUAAACCAGUGUGGUGCGGUAAAGGAUAUUUACUGUAAAGAAUAGUUAAAUAUGUAAAUUUUUCGCUAAACAGCUUCUGUAUCAGCAAGACUCGUACCUAAACAACAAAUCUAGCUGGAUUUUUUUUUUUUCUUUUCAUCAAAACACCAUUAGAACAGCGUUUUAAAUUGUAGUUUUUGUUAUUUUAAUGAUUCUAUUGGUUAAACUAGCACAUUAGACGAACACACAUGCUUUGACAGUAUUUUAUUACCAAGUAGUUGAACAAAUUAUGUCAUCCACUAAAAUAACCACCCGCCCCGGAUUUUAGUAGUAGUCUCUCGCUUUCUCUCGACGGUUCCACAGUGUGCUGGAUGAAGCGUUCGCCAACGAUUAAUGGUGUAAUCCGUCUAUACUUUCAAAAUAAAGGGGCGGCCUUUCAUUUACGUUAGUAAAGCCUGUAUUCGAAUAUACUUGUCCUUUGUUGAGAAAGGAACAACAGAAAGUUAACCUUAUUGAUGUCGUUACUUGCUAGCGAAACGUCUCGACUUGUCCAGAGUGACAGCUCCUCGAGUAUAAAAGCAAUUUCGGGACACAUGCAGGCACAAGAACAAGAUCCAGAAGAAGGACAGAGGUGUUACUGUAGUUCUCCCAAAAACUAGUAUCAGUUCAAAUAAUUAAUGCUUUUCAACUUCACAUGUAUUACGUAUUGGCCCAAAUAUAAGACAGCCCUGAUUAUAAGACGACGCCCUCUUUUUCAAGACUCGUUUGAAAAAAGACUUUUUGAACACCAAACUAAUUUUAAUACGGAAAAUAAUUACAGUACAUCUGAAACAAAUGAUUAUAACAAUAUUUUUGAGAGAAAAAGCAUGUUAUUUUGCCUCAUUCAAAUCUUAAUUUCUGAACAUUUAAAUAAAUAAAGUGCAAUCACAUUCGUAAAUGAAUGGCUUCUGGUUUUUGAAAUGUAAAUAAACCAAUCUAUUGUGAUACAACAACAAAAUUGCAAUGACUGCAUUAAACAUCAAAGUGAGGUCUAACUGUAACUAGUCUUGAGAUAAAUCUGAAUGAGGAAAAACAUUACAAUAAAAUAAUGCAAACUGGUUAAACUUGAGAGUAGCUGAGAUUUGUCAUGACAGAACAUUACUCCUCAAGUUCAGCAUUCGCUUCAAUGAUAUCUGGCUCCAUCUAGCAUCGUGAAUGGGUAUAAUGUCUAGACCCUGAAUAUAAGACGACUCCCCCUUUUUCAGUCUUAUUUCAAUGCAAAAAACACAGUCUUAUAUUCCGGCCAACACGGUACUAACAGCAAAUGUUCUUUUUUUCAUGACUCGAACUAAAUUUGUAUUUCUGGGAGCAUGUGUGACCACGUACAACUCUUAACAGCGAUUUGUUCGCUCAUUCCUUGGCCUUGUGCUUCAUUAACACGCUUCCUUCCCAUUAGCUGGCCUUUUUUAUGUGUCGGCAGCAUGCAGACCACUUCCUGGUGUGCCCUCAGGUUCAGUCGAAGCGCUCACUAUGAAGAUAACGUGGGCCGUUGACCUGUUAACACAUAAAGCUCCUUGCACGCCAUACGGUUUUGAUCUUAAGAUGUAAAUGAAUUUAUCCUCACAGAAUCUUUUGAGUGAGUUGAUCAGUGCCUGUGCAUCUGCUUUUGCCAGUCUGAGAAUCAUGUGGUUCUUGUGAAGCUUUUUGUGAGAUGGCGAGAUUUUUGACCCCCACAUUGCGUCAACAAUGUCUGCUGAUUUCUCAUGAAACAUUAGUUUGUAUCCAGCAGGUUAAAUUUCAUCGCAGGACAAAUUGCAACAGCAGCGUGGUGUUUCAUCCCAGCCAAAGAAGCUAAACAGGAGACAAAACGUCCUCAUUAGCAACUGGUCAUUGGAACACAAGUGCUAAUCAAGAGCUCACAAUUCUGGACACAAACUCCAAUCCACUUACUGAUUUAUAGCUCUGAUUCAGUGUUUGUCUUGUCACUGUGAUUUUGAUUUUAUAUUGUCGUAAUCGAGCAUAGCUAAACAAAGAACCUGAUGCCUACUGAUUAGUACUCAAACUUGUGUGUGUGUGUGUGUGCAUGCUUUAGCGGUUUAUUGUUUUGUUGUUGUUUUAUAAGGCAAAAAGGAGGAACGAGUAAGUGAGGAAGGAAGUUUGGAAAGGCAGACGUGUUAGGGAGCUUUAAUAAUCAGGAUGAAAAUACAGAAUGUAGAAAGAAUACGCAAGUAGGUCAGUUGUUCAAAAGAUGAGAUGAGAAGACUACAUUUCAGCACUGUGUGCUUUGUAUUUAUUUAUUUUUGCCAGUUCAUUUGUCCAAAGGGUCAAUAUGUAUAUGAGAGUGGUCUGGUCCUGCUGAGACAUAAAUCUUGAAUGCUGCUGUAUUUAGACCAUGUGAAUAACUCCACAGGUGCUUGUAUUGUAGCAGCUCGAGCUGUCGGCCCUGGUACUGAACUGAGAGACGAUGGCGUCUUUGUGUGUUUGUGUGUGCAAGGUUUAACAAGAUAUUAUUCAAGUAUUUUACGCAAAAGCAAAGUGAGAGGAUACGUAAACCCAGACGAUAAGCAGUGACUGUGUAUUUUAUGAAACGCAAGACCACGUUACUGCCUCAAACACAGAUUUAAUGUAAAUUUGCCUGACUUUUUAUCAAUAUAUUUAAAAAAAAAAAAAAAAAAAAAGAAACUGUGUCCGUUUAUUUUAAACCUAAUUUUAACUGUUACACUCAUCGUAACCCAUAAAAUUGUUUGCUGCCUGACAAUCGGUAUCCAGUGUGACUCCUCACACUUUGCUGCUUAAUGCCUUUUUAUUUCAAGCUUUCUGAACAAUGCAUUGAAUUUGUGAGACUGAUUUGGUUCACUGUGGAUUUUAAGCUACCAAAACAAUGGCUAGAACGCUUGACUGCGCGUGUAAACGCUGAACCAAAGAACCAAGCUUUUGUUUGUUGGGUCAUUUUUUUAUAACCUAAGUCUUGUAAAUCUUUAAUGUAACUUGACUGAUGGAUUUUUUCCCCAGCUUUUGUUUCCGUGUUUCAGUAUGCAUGCCAAUUAUGUAUAGGAACCUCUUCACAACAGCCAUUUGCUAAUGUCAUUGCAUACAAAGUUAAUGUAAAGCAUAGUCCUGUUUUGAUGGCUCAGAUCUAUGCCUAAAGAGAAUUGCUUUGAGCCCUAAAUGGAACAGGACCACCACUAUUAAUGAUAUCUUCAACACGCUGCUGGACUGGCCAUCGGGCAUACCGGGCAUUUGCCCGGUGGGCCGAUGGCGAUUUUGGGCCGGUCCUGAAUUUUUUUUUUUUUUUAACCUAACGGCAUUAAUCACAUUGUUACACAAAACUGGUAGAUCGGCCCAUCAGUCAAGAUUGGUUAUGGGCUGGACCAAUUACAAACGAGGGCCGAUGCCCCCUCCCUCUUGAUCAGAGGUAUCAGAUAUACAUUAAUCAGACAUAGAGAGAGAGGAGAUAAACAAAAUGGAUAACUACAAGAAAAGGAAAGGAGGCGCGGAAAAAAUUAGAGAUAGAAAGAGACAAGCCCUUCAUGCGGAUGCCGGUAAAUGUGUUAAAAUAACACAGAUGUUUGCCGGUGGCGGAGCUUCCUCUUCAGCGACAGCAGCAACCGCAGGUUACGAUGGCGGGGGUGGCCGUCAGGUGGAUGAGGGGAAGGGGAGGCAGGAGGAGUGUAGGAAAGCCCCAUUGUGAGUGUGAGUGCUUCAGUUCAGUCGCUGCUGCACUGGCCCUUCGGGGAGAGUGACGCGCGCACGAGUGACUUUCUCUCCUCCCUUCAUUGGCGCGUGCGAGUGACUCUUUUUUUCCUCCUUUCAAUGCGUGCAGUUCGUUCCUAAAUCUGCCGUCCUGUUUGUUGUCUUCCGGGUGUUGUGCGUGGAUGAAAAAGGUGGGUUUGGAGUAGAACUGUACUUUGGAAUUGUUUAAACACCUUUGGCAAAUGAUUUGCCUGUUUGUGGUCCGUUGCGUUGUUAGCCGCCACGAGCUAACCGCUAGCUUCCGAGCGCUAGCCGCCGCGCUAGCCGCUUAGCGCUGGUGCUAAUCGUUGGCCCUUUUGGCUACAUUCUGAAGGUUGAUAGUUUGUUGUUGCAAAUUCAGUUAUCUAAAUUGUUAAGUUAAUUUCCUGCUCAGUUGGUAUGCUCAUUAUUGUGCAUGAUUAGCCGUGUAUUUCAUUGAUAUUAUGUUUAAUGUUUUCCUGUUAAUUUAGCUAUAGGUUUAUACAGUAUGUGUUUAUAUAUUGUAUUAGUGACAUGUUACAUGGU